UCCCAGCCAGUACACAUGCCGCCUCGA
rnacentral:sRNA from 1 species